rnacentral:rRNA from 1 species
AGGAUUAACGCUGGCGGCGUGCCUGACAUAUGCAAGUCGAACGAGGCCGCAAGGCCGAGUGGCGGACGGGUGAGUAACACGUGACCAACCAACCUCGAAGUUGGGAAUAGCUCUGCGAAAGUAGGGGUAAUACCGAAUGUGGCCCAGGGCGGGCAUCCGCCUUGGUCUAAAGAUUCAUCGCUUCGAGACGGGGUCGCGGCCUAUUAGCUUGUUGGUGAGGUAACGGCUCACCAAGGCGAUGAUGGGUAGCUGGUCUGAGAGGACGACCAGCCACACUGGGACUGAGACACGGCCCAGACUCCUACGGGAGGCAGCAGUGAGGAAUCUUCCGCAAUGGGCGAAAGCCUGACGGAGCAACGCCGCGUGUGGGAUGAAGACUCUAGGGUUGUAAACCACUGUCGGAGGGGACGAUCGUGACGGUACCCUCCAAGAAAGCCCCGGCUAACUACGUGCCAGCAGCCGC